AUUCAUCUUGCUUGCAUUAUAGUGCACCGAUUUCAGUGGCAUCUUACCCAUAAUUAUAACUAACCUCUUAUUCUGUAUGUGGAACAUAGCGAAAGUUAGGGUUUGAUUUGAAAUUUAGACAUGUUCACCGGUCCUACAAUUAUGUUUGGUGUUUAGUUUGGGUUUCCACCUUCUCUGGUCUAACAUCAGUUACAAAGUUCUUCAAAAGUUUUAGUCAAAUUUUUGUUCAGGAACAGAAAAGGCACUGCGUGCAUGAUUGAGAAUAGAAGAAGUUUGGCUUUUCUCUUCUGUUUCGGGUCAUAUGGUGCUUCUCUAUGGUCAACAUUAGUCAAAAGCUUCAAGCUUCAAGUGCAAACAAGUAUUGGGUGGAGCAGGUGGUUAAAUUAGCUGAUAAAGAAAGAGAAAACCUGGAGGUUAUAAGAAGGAGUCUAAGUCAGACAUGAGUGAAAACAGUUGCAUGGAUCGUUUGUUUGUUGCUUAUUCUGAUAAAAUGCUUAAUCUGAUGCUGAUAAUGUCACAAUUGUGAAUAAGGUUUAAGAGACCCAAAUCCAUAUGAAACCUUAAAACAAGCACCAAGAGUGAAAGAUGUUUGAAUGUUGGACAUCAAUACAAGUUUAAUCUUUAGCUUUUACAUGCUACAGAUCAAUAAAGAAAGGGAUGUGGUGGUUGAACGACUGUAUCAUCGAUCAUGCUGAUUUACAGAUGGGAUAACGAUAUUAUUAGUUUAGUUGCCAAGGAGCAAAAGGAGAGGAAGAUUGCAAUUUCUUUUAAGGCCGAUGAAACAACAGAAGGUAAAAUUAGGUAGUUCAUGCCCAAGUUAACAGAAUUGGAUGUCGUUGGUAGACAUAUCUUCGAAUUCAGUGGGAUUAGUGUGUUUUUCAGUUGUAUGAACACCUUAAAAAUAUGCGGUUAAUAUUACAGGUUUGGACUUCCAAGUAUAAGUGGGAAAUGUGGAUCCGAACGACAUUUUUCAUCCUGGUAGAUAUCCUUUCUUAAAAUUUGUCUAGUAGUGGUUGUUUAAUAUCUCAUAUUUGUUAUGAAGGAUCUCUAUUCAAUCCAUUGUCGGUUUGCUUACUUCAUCUGCUGAUCUGUUUCCAUUUAUGGUUAUGAAUUCAGUCCGAAUUGUUGGAAAUUUAUUAAGGAGUGUUUAUAAAAUUUGAUAAAAGUCGUGUGUAAUGUAUGAACAAAGGAACAAAUGGAGGCAUGGAAACCAAUUCUGGAUGGUGUACCACAAUGUACAUUCAUUUUUACCGUUUUUGUAAAUGGAUGAAUAGCAGAAAAUAGCAACAUACUUUACUAUGGCUACCAAUUCAGACAAUGUACUAUAAUUUUUCAU